UGAUGGAGGGGGAUAACUACUGGAAACGGUAGCUAAUACCGCAUAACGUCGCAAGACCAAAGAGGGGGACCUUCGGGCCUCUUGCCAUCAGAUGUGCCCAGAUGGGAUUAGCUAGUAGGUGGGGUAACGGCUCACCUAGGCGACGAUCCCUAGCUGGUCUGAGAGGAUGACCAGCCACACUGGAACUGAGACACGGUCCAGACUCCUACGGGAGGCAGCAGUGGGGAAUAUUGCACAAUGGGCGCAAGCCUGAUGCACCCAUGCCGCGUGUAUGAAGAAGGCCUUCGGGUUGUAAAGUACUUUCAGCGGGGAGGAAGGUGUUGUGGUUAAUAACCGCAGCAAUUGACGUUACCCGCAGAUAAAAGCACAGGGCUAACUCCGUGCCAGCAGCCGCGGUAAUACGGAGGGUGCAAGCGUUAAUCGGAAUUACUGGGCGUAAAGCGCACGCAGGCGGUCU
rnacentral:rRNA from 1 species